rnacentral:rRNA from 1 species
UACGUAGGGUGCGAGCGUUGUCCGGAAUUAUUGGGCGUAAACAGCUUGUAGGUGGUUUGUCGCGUCUGCUGUGAAAAUCCGAGGCUCAACCUCGGACUUGCAGUGGGUACGGGCAGACUAGAGUGUGGUAGGGGAGACUGGAAUUCCUGGUGUAGCGGUGGAAUGCGCAGAUAUCAGGAGGAACACCGAUGGCGAAGGCAGGUCUCUGGGCCAUUACUGACACUGAGAAGCGAAAGCAUGGGGAGCGAACAGG